CAUAACUAUCGCACCAAUGGGGGCCACCACCAGCGGCGUUCUCUCUCUAUCUUCCUUUGUCCACUUCACCACCAUCGCUGACUGUUAACCACCGUAUGCUGCUGCAAUCCGACGUCCCAGUGCCCUUGCCCCUAUACGAUUUGCCAGCCUGGUCCAAAUUUUGUGAUUGGAUUCUUCUGGUGCUUGUUCUCUGUAGAUAUGGCUGAUGACUGCUGGCUUGCUACAUGCAAGGAUAACAUGAAUUGUGAUAUAACGUCUCCAUACUGUGGUGAAAACCGUAUUAUGGGGGAUUAUGCAUUUUUUAACACAAGUUGCAAACCUCUUCAACCAUCUUAAAUAACUCUGGUAGUAAGCAUUUUAUUAUUUUUCAAUCAGUUAGCUCGCUUGGUCAAAACCUCAAGACAAGUACCUACUUAUGGGAUUUUUGAACAGGUAUUAUUCUAGUUUCUUCUUCUAGGCAACAUGUAAGUGGGAAAUGUUUGUAUAUCUUGCAUACUCAUUAUGUUAUUGAACUAUUUAUGCACAUAUUUUAUUUUGAUUGUUUUGGUUGGUGCAACAUAGAUAUCUUCACUCAAUGACAUUAAGAGUAGAAAUGAGGGUAAAAAGGAGGGAUGCAGAGGUAUGGAUGUCCCACAAGAUGCUUCCUGAAGAUCUGAAGGAAGGUGUGACACUCUAUGAACAAAAGAAAACAGGAAGUCAAUGAAGAAUCUCUUGUUCACAAGCUGCCCGAGGACUUAUGGAAGGACAUAAAGUUCAAUGGACAAUACAACCGGCAACCAAACUGCCAAAUUGUUCAUGUAAAAUAACAUCAGGCAUAUAUAAUAAUAUCUCAUACUGCUCCAAGUAUAGAAAAAAACCCACAAAUCAGUAGCAUCACAAGGCUGUUUGGAAGGUUUUAUUAUCAAACCCAGCAACCUAUUCCUUAUAUUGCCUUUUCCAUUGUAAUUGACCCGUUUAUUUUUAUUUUGAUUACAUUGUAAUAUUGAGUUUGGACAUAUGUUAAUAUAUAAGGGUAUCUUU
rnacentral:lncRNA from 1 species